AGUGAACGCUGGCGGUAGGCCUAACACAUGCAAGUCGAACGGCAGCACAGUAAGAGCUUGCUCUUACGGGUGGCGAGUGGCGGACGGGUGAGGAAUACAUCGGAAUCUACUUUUUCGUGGGGGAUAACGUAGGUAAACUUACGCUAAUACCGCAUACGACCUACGGGUGAAAGCAGGGGAUCUUCGGACCUUGCGCGAUUGAAUGAGCCGAUGUCGGAUUAGCUAGUUGGCGGGGUAAAGGCCCACCAAGGCGACGAUCCGUAGCUGGUCUGAGAGGAUGAUAGGCCACACUGGAACUGAGACACGGUCCAGACUCCUAAGGGAGGCAGCAGUGGGGAAUAUUGGACAAUGGGCGCAAGCCUGAUCCAGCCAUACCGCGUGGGUGAAGAAGGCCUUCGGGUUGUAAAGCCCUUUUGUUGGGAAAGAAAAGCAGCAGGUUAAUACCCCGCUGUUCUGACGGUACCCAAAGAAUAAGCACCGGCUAACUUCGUG
rnacentral:rRNA from 1 species